rnacentral:lncRNA from 1 species
GCUGGAUGUAGAUGAUCCUGAAGAAGGAGUCACGUAACCUGAAGCAGGGCUGAUGUUCUGAGCAGCAAUGAAUUGCUUAGGCCGAGCGUAGUUAAAGGAGCUGGAAGACUGCAUGCUUGGGGAAGUGUGAGAGUUGAGAAUACUCAUUGGCACAGGAGAAACAAUAGACUGGCUGGACUCGAGUUCUUGGAAGGAGGGGGGAGGAGGAAAGGAAGGAGAUGAGGGAGUGUGCUGACGAUGUUCAGAUUGCUGCUGGUGACGACACCACUGGCCACUUUCUUGCUCCAGACGAAUUUGGUUCUGCAGCUGCUGUAUUUUUAUAGGGUCCCUGCGCGACUCCGGCCGGCAACUCGCUCAUCGCCCGGCGCGGCUCCGAGGGCCGGGGCGCAGCGCGAGCGCGCCGCAGGUAACGGCGCUAUAUAGGGCGGGCGGGCAGCGCGCCGCGACCGCUGAGCCUCUGCCGAGCUUCC